rnacentral:rRNA from 1 species
UACGGAGGGAGCUAGCGUUGUUCGGAAUUACUGGGCGUAAAGCGCGCGUAGGCGGCUUUGUAAGUUAGAGGUGAAAGCCCGGGGCUCAACCCCGGAAAUUGCCUUUAAGACUGCAUCGCUUGAAUCCGGGAGAGGUGAGUGGAAUUCCGAGUGUAGAGGUGAAAUUCGUAGAUAUUCGCAAGAACACCAGUGGCGAAAGGCGGCUCGACUGGCCUCGAUCACUG